rnacentral:rRNA from 1 species
AGUGGCGGACGGGUGAGUAACGCGUGGGUAACCUGCCUCAUACAGGGGGAUAACAGUUAGAAAUGACUGCUAAGACCGCAUAAUAUAGCGAAACCGCAUGAUUUUUGCUAUCAAAUAUUUAUAGGUAUGAGAUGGGCCCGCGUCUGAUUAGCUAGUUGGUGGGGUAAAAGCCUACCAAGGCGACGAUCAGUAGCCGGCUUGAGAGAGUGACCGGCCACAUUGAGACUGAGACACGGCCCAAACUCCUACGGGAGGCAGCAGUGGGGAAUAUUGGACAAUGGGGGAAACCCUGAUCCAGCGACGCCCGCGUGAGUGAAGAAGUAUUUCGGUAUGUAAAGCUCUAUCAGCAGGGAAGAUAAUGACAGUACCUGACUAAGAAGCCCCGGCUAACUACGUGCCAGCAGCAGC